AACGAACGCUGGCGGCAGGCCUAACACAUGCAAGUCGAACGCCGUAGCAAUACGGAGUGGCAGACGGGUGAGUAACGCGUGGGAACCUUCCCAGUGGUAAGGAAUAACUCAGGGAAACUUGAGCUAAUACCGUUUACGCCCCUCGGGGGAAAGAUUUAUCGCCAUUGGAUGGGCCCGCGUCGGAUUAGCUAGUUGGUGAGGUAACGGCUCACCAAGGCGACGAUCCGUAGCUGGUCUGAGAGGAUGAUCAGCCACACUGGGACUGAGGCACGGCCCAGACUCCUACGGGAGGCAGCAGUGGGGAAUAUUGGACAAUGGGCGCAAGCCUGAUCCAGCCAUGCCGCGUGAGUGACGAAGGCCUUAGGGUUGUAAAGCUCUUUUGGCGGGGAAGAUAAUGACGGUACCCGCAGAAUAAGCUCCGGCUAACUUCGUGCCAGCAGCCGCCGUAAUAC
rnacentral:rRNA from 1 species